GAAAAUAUGGAGAGAUCAAAUAUUUUUCUUCCUCUGUUGCCUAUUAUAUCAACUUGUAACCUGUAACAGGCAAAAUUAGGUCACAAUAGCUUUAUUGUUCAUUAAACUAAAGUUCAAAGAGUUUAAUGUUAUAAAUUGAAAUUCAAUAAUGGUACCACUACAAGAACUAAAGUUGGGGGAUAUUGGAUGAAAUUUAGCCCAAUUUCUCAUAAAGAGCAGGCAAGGACAUUGUAAACUGAAUUGUAUCAUCAUUGAAUCUUCAUAAGUUGCUAAACGCAGCAAAAUAGUCCAAACUAUUCUUGUCAAUUCCUUAUAAAGAAGUGGCCAAGGUGAUAUUAACCUGUCUAACUCCACCUUAAAAGCUAGCU
rnacentral:misc_RNA from 1 species